rnacentral:rRNA from 1 species
UGCCGUGAGGUGUUGGGUUAAGUCCCUUAACGAGCGCAACCCUUGCCUUUAUUUGCUAACAGGUUAAGCUGAGAACUAUAGAGGGACUGCCUACGAAAGUAGGAGGAAGGAGAGGAUGAUGUUAAGUCAUCAUGGCCUUUAUGGAUUGGGCUACACACAUGCUACAAUGGAUAGUACAAUAUGUUGCAAUACAGUAAUGUAAAGCUAAUCAUUAAAGCUAUUCUCAGUUCGGAUUGAGGUUUGCAACUCAACCUCAUGAAGUUGAAAUCGCUAGUA